AUGGAGCCGACCUUGAAAUACCACCCUUUAAUGUUUGAUGUUCUAACGUUGACCCGUAAUCCGGGUUGCGGACAGUGUCUGGUGGGUAGUUUGACUGGGGCGGUCUCCUCCUAAAGAGUAACGGAGGAGCACGAAGGUUGGCUAAUCCUGGUCGGACAUCAGGAGGUUAGUGCAAUGGCAUAAGCCAGCUUGACUGCGAGCGUGACGGCGCGAGCAGGUGCGAAAGCAGGUCAUAGUGAUCCGGUGGUUCUGAAUGGAAGGGCCAUCGCUCAACGGAUAAAAGGUACUCCGGGGAUAACAGGCUGAUACCGCCCAAGAGUUCAUAUCGACGGCGGUGUUUGGCACCUCGAUGUCGGCUCAUCACAUCCUGGGGCUGAAGUAGGUCCCAAGGGUAUGGCUGUUCGCCAUUUAAAGUGGUACGCGAGCUGGGUUUAGAACGUCGUGAGACAGUUCGGUCCCUAUCUGCCGUGGGCGCUGGAGAACUGAGGGGGGCUGCUCCUAGUACGAGAGGACCGGAGUGGACGCAUCACUGGUGUUCGGGUUGUCAUGCCAAUGGCACUGCCCGGUAGCUAAAUGCGGAAGAGAUAAGUGCUGAAAGCAUCUAAGCACGAAACUUGCCCCGAGAUGAGUUCUCCCUGACUCCUUGAGAGUCCUGAAGGAACGUUGAAGACGACGACGUUGAUAGGCCGGGUGUGUAAGCGCAGCGAUGCGUUGAGCUAACCGGUACUAAUGAACCGUGAGGCUUAACCUUACAACGCCGAAGGUGUUU
rnacentral:rRNA from 1 species